rnacentral:rRNA from 1 species
GAUGAACGCUGGCGGCGUGCCUAAUACAUGCAAGUCGAGCGAAACUUCUUUAUCACCGAGUGCUUGCACUCACCGAUAAAGAGUUGAGUGGCGAACGGGUGAGUAACACGUGGGCAACCUGCCCAAAAGAGGGGGAUAACACUUGGAAACAGGUGCUAAUACCGCAUAACCAUAGUUACCGCAUGGUAACUAUGUAAAAGGUGGCUAUACUACCGCUUUUGGAUGGGCCCGCGGCGCAUUAGCUAGUUGGUAGGGUAAAGGCUUACCAAGGCAAUGAUGCGUAGCCGAAUUGAGAGGUUGAUCGGCCACCUUGGGACUGAGACACGGCCCAAACUCCUACGGGAGGCAGCAGUAGGGAAUCUUCCACAAUGGGCGAAAGCCUGAUGGAGCAACGCCGCGUGGGUGAAGAAGGUCUUCGGAUCGUAAAACCCUGUUGUUAGAGAAGAAAGUGCGUGAGAGUAACUGUUCACGUUUCGACGGUAUCUAACCAGAAAGCCACUGCUAACUACGUG